rnacentral:lncRNA from 1 species
GUUCGUUCAGAUUCUAAAACAAAGUAUCACAGACUGAAUGGCUGAUAAGCUUCAAGAUUUAUUUCUCCAAGUUCUGGAGGCUGGAGUCCAAGAGCAGUUUGCCAACAUGGUCACGCUGGGCGGAGGGCCAUCUCCCAGGUCACAGACUGCUGAAUUUACGGCUGGAUCCUCACACAGCUAAAGGGAACUAACAGCUCUCUGGCCUCUUACUAUAAGGUCACAAUCCCCUGCAUACAGUCUCCACCGUCAUCACCUAAUUACCUCUCACAGGGCACACAUCCUAAUGUCACCGUGGGAUUAGAAUGUCUGUUGAGAGCCACAGCCCAAGGGGCCCCAGCAAACUUCCAGCUGCCAGCAAACUUCCAGCUGCCAGUUGAUGAUUGGCUCACAGUGACCCCAGCAAACUUCUAGCUGCCAACUGAUUGGCUCCUCUGCGGUGAUGCUCAUUGGGCUGUUUCCCCGCCCUUUCAGACCAUGGAGCUGCUCAUUGGGGGACUCUUUUGACUCCGCCCACAUGACCCAGCCAAUCGGCCUCAAGAGCAGGAGGAGUGGGGGAGGUGGAGAGGCUUGUGGGAAGCCGGUGGUGGCAGUUGGGCUCUGAAGGUUUUCCUGAGGAGCUUUUUUGUUUGGCGUGUGUGGUUCUAAAAAUAAAGUUCGUUUCUUUUGACAAGUGGCUCCUGAAUUGUGCCCAGCCAGACUGCAGCACCAAAGAUAAACUUAAAAUAACCCUUUUUACUCUAAACUUUUUAAGUUUGAAUUCAUCAGGGCUUAGUGCUGCGGAAAGGCAUAU